GUGGGGAAUAUUGGACAAUGGGCGAAAGCCUGAUCCAGCCAUGCCGCGUGUGUGAAGAAGGUCUUCGGAUUGUAAAGCACUUUAAGUUGGGAGGAAGGGCAUUAACCUAAUACGUUAGUGUUUUGACGUUACCGACAGAAUAAGCACCGGCUAACUACGUGCCAGCAGCCGCGGUAAUACGUAGGGUGCAAGCGUUAAUCGGAAUUACUGGGCGUAAAGCGUGCGCAGGCGGUUUUGUAAGACAGUGGUGAAAUCCCCGGGCUCAACCUGGGAACUGCCUCCAAAACUGCAUGACUAGAGUACGGUAGAGGGUAGUGGAAUUUCCUGUGUAGCGGUGAAAUGCGUAGAUAUAGGAAGGAACACCAGUGGCGAAGGCGACUACCUGGACUGAUACUGACACUGAGGUGCGAAAGCGUGGGGAGCAAACAGGAUUAGAUACCCGAGUAGUCC
rnacentral:rRNA from 1 species